UAUGGCUACAACCUGGAUACCUGACACAUGGAAGAUAUUGAAUUUUAGCCAUUUUAAAAAAAUGAAAUCCUCAUAUUUUCCCAAGCAGGAAGCAACUGCGACCACCUGAAACCUGAGCUUCAGUUCCUGCCUUUGUUUCAAGGUGCUUGUAGACAAUAAACAUGACUGAAUAUUUGCCACUGAACCGACCCUGAAUAACACCUGAUAUGAACAAGAACAGCAAUGAUGACACUGAUAACCCCAGGUGACACUUGUGACCCUGACUGCUGAUUUUGAAAAUGAUGCUAACCUGGAUAAAGGAAUUUCUAAUCCUGGCAAUUGCAAACAAGAAGACAGAUGGACUGCCUGGCAUACUGGCUGAACAACAUACAUGCUAUGACAUAACAACUCUGGUCAGAGAAUUAAGUGUAAACAUAUCUAUCAAUGGUUUAGAACAUACGGAUGUCUCUUUAGCCAGUGUGCAUGUAAUGUAUGGAAGUAAAGUUGCUGAACUGGUUAAGCAAAGUUCAUUCCACCCACAAUUUCAGCAAAGGCCUAAUUUAUUAAACAGCGCAGUCAUGACAGCACAACUGCAUAGACAAAAAAUAGAACACAUUAUAUUGGACUUCUUACAAUUUGCUAAAUUUGACUGGGAUGCCUCGAUGUACCAAGAUAAAAGUAUCAAGAUCUUAAUGACAAUUCCCAGAUGGAAUAAUCCUCCAGUAAAGGUAUACUAUGUGAAUAGCAUGGGAACCUUUGUAAAUAAUAUAUAUGUGUGCAACACUACCCUAGUAUUUCCCUGGAGUCAGAAGAAAUGCGGUUAGAAGUUAAUCAAAAUUACUGUUAAAAAAACAAUGGAUGGUGACUCUGCGAGUGCUCUGCCUCCAUCACUACCAAUAGUACCAAAAGGGGCUAGGUCCGAUUGAUACAAAAAGAAUUGAUGAAUGAGGCAGCAUGAGUAAAAAAUACAAUGUGUGGUUUGGAGUAUUCUCAUUUUAUGAAGAAGGAAGAAACCUGUCAAGGAAACUGGGAAGGAUUCUGUCUGAACAUAACAAGUAAAAUUCAAAUUGGGACUCAUGCUUUCUUGCCAACAAGCAAUGCAAAGACUGUAACUGAGCUUAUCAUUCCUUUUGACAAGAUAAGGGAAUUGAUGAUUGAUUUAUUUCCCCCCAUCACAGAUUUAUACCUAGAUGUACAGAGCGCCUAUAGAUGUGCUCAUUCACGUUCUAAUUAGAACAUGUUGGAGCAGACUCAAUUAACCUGACCCAGCUCAACGUGCUGUGCUUCUGGGCACAUGUUUAUAUUUCAUUAUGUCUCAAAUCUCAAAUGUAAAUCCAGUUGUUCUGCUUUCAGGCUGCACAGGCAAAUAUCCUAAUCAUCAUUCUGAAAGCCACAAAAUCACAAUGCUGAGGAGUUUCAAAUAGGUAGACUGGAUAUGAAGAAGUUAUGGAUUGUUACUUUAAAACAACUCUCUGUGUUUAUCAUUUGUA